rnacentral:rRNA from 1 species
UACGAACUGUGCAAACGUUAUUCGGAUUCACUGGGCUUAAAGGGUGCGUAGGCGGCCAUGUAAGUAGGGUGUGAAAUCCCCCGGCUUAACCGGGGAACUGCGCCCUAAACUGUGUGGCUUGAGUGAGAUAGGGGUGUGUGGAACUUCCGGUGGAGCGGUGAAAUGUGUUGAUAUCGGAAGGAACGCCGGUGGCGAAAGCGGCUCACUGGACCAUAACUGACGCUGAUGCACGAAAGCUAGGGGAGCAAACAGG